CUUCAGCGACCCGAGCCACAGCGGCCGCUCCCGGCCCUGGCCGUAGGUGGCGAUCAGUGCCUGCGCCUC
rnacentral:antisense_RNA from 1 species